rnacentral:lncRNA from 1 species
AUGUCCAGAUGUACUGCUUGGAUGUUUAGUUUUAAAAAUUUUAUCAACAAUUACUAUGAAAUAUAUAUGAUGACUGUAUUGUUGGUUUUAUUUGUUUGUUUGUUUGUUUGUUUUGGGACACUUUUUUUUUUUUUUACAAUAUUUUAUGUGUUCUCCUUCAGAUCCUGCAAAUGUGAAACCUACUUCAUCUCAAAUUGUUCUUGGAUUUCACUUACUACUUUCUUUUCUUUUGUACAUUUUAACAAAAUGCUAAACACAUUUGUAUUAGAAAUAAAUUCCACUUCAGUUCCUUUUAGUUUCAAAUACUGUUUUAAUAGUAUCUAUGUAGGAAUGGUUGUAAUAAGUGUUGCAGAGUUGCUCUGCUCCUUCCUUGGAGCUCCAGCUUAUUCAUGCCUCCUCUGGCUUACUUUACAAGCUGGCAGGAAAAUCAAACCCACUCAGGUGUUUCCUCUGAUUUUGACUCUGAUGGAACUGAUCUACUCUAUUCAGAGUGCUUUUGAGAUUCUCAAUUUCCUGAUCUUUAGAAGUGAAACAUUGUGGAGAAUGUCAUUUGUUGUUUUUGGUCUGAGUUGGGUCGGCAGGCCUCUGAUUCAGGUGUGUAUCUCUGUUGAGCAGUAUCUGGCAGUGAUCCAUCCAGUAAUGUUCCUGAAGUAUAAAUCUCUUCAGUACAGGGUUGCAUGUGCUGCAGUACUUUGGCUUAUAGCAGCUUUAUGUCCUGUAUUUGAGGGAUUUAAACAAACAUUUCUUCACCAUAGUUACAACUUUGUCUUCUUCAUAUCAGUGAUUAUAAACUCGUUUUGCUGUGUUUCUGUUCUCCAUGCUCUGAGACAGCCAGGACCAGGAAACACACAGAUCCCAACGGAGAGAGGAAGAGAUGUAGGAAACCAACAAAAGAGAAACGCCUUUAAUACCAUCUUUACAGGAUUACUAAUAAUCCUAUUCACAUACCUCCCUCAGAUCUCACUUCGUUUAAUUAACGUGAUACAAAUAGAUAUGAAACAGUUUAAUUGUAAUAUGGCUCCCAUCACGUUCACUUUCAAUGUUUUGGGUGUGACGAUCACACCAUAUCUGAAAAAACACAAAAUUAUUGGAAUGAAAUGCUUAAAACUUUAA